UUGGAUUUUUUCUGGAAAACCGAGAAAUGAAAAGCAAAAAAUUUCAUUGUAACCUCACCCAAAGGAACUCAAAGGAUUAUCUUUAUUAUCUUGGUUAAUGGUUGGUUUGAACACGCAAUGGUUGAUCACUGGAGAGGCAAAGAACGAUUCAAUAAAGAGUUCCAAGAAUCGUUAUCAACAUACUGAUAGACGCUUAUCAACAUCAUCAACAAAUCAUUUUUUAUUAUUUACAGAAAAAAAAAUUUCUAGUUCAAAGCAACACCAGAUAUCAUUUUUCAGGCUUCAAUGAACUUUUUCAAGUCUCAUUUCAUUGGUGAAUGGGUUUUUUUGCUUUAAUGAUGAACAUGAUUAUUAUGAUGAGCUGACCUUCAUUAACAAUGAAAAUUCAUGGUAAUUAAUUAUUAUGAACGAGAAAAGAAAUAUUGUCUCAUUGACAAUAACAGAAUCAUUUCACCCUGCACAUGGUAACUAUUUCAAUGGCUGGUGAUAACUCUUCGUCUCGUAUAAUAAUUUAUUUUACUGGACCUGUGUCAAUUUAAUUUUCAAAAUUGAAUGGUUUCUAUGAAACAAACAUUGGAUUUUCGAUGCCAGCAUUUUCCCCUUUCUCUUCUCAUCUUGAUGCUGUUGUUGUUUUGAACCAGAAAACCCAAAUUUCAACCAAUUAAUGUAAACAGUAUUAUUUGUCAACCUAAUUAUUGGCCCUAAUCCAAUGAGAUGAACACAAUUUUGUCCUUUCCAUCAUUUUGACAAUUCAUCCCAACUUAUUGCAAACCUAGUAAACCUUUUUUGUUGACAAAGAAGAACAGAAAACCUUGAACUGGUCUCAAUUUAAGUGUUUUUCAUCUUCUUGAUCAUCUUCUUGGUGAUGAUCAUAUUUUUUGGAUGAAAUGCUCACAAUUGUUUCUGGAAUGGGUUGAUUAAUGAAAGAUGAUAUUACAGCUUUAAAAUGUAAUCUUUCCCAAAUAUUGGUUGACAACAGACUUAUAUUCAAUGAUUACUAUUUUGUAUUUGAACGAUUUUUAAUGUUGUUUUGAAAAGCAAAGUUAAAUAGUUUCAAGUUUUCAUUAAAUAACUAUUGAUCAAGGCCUAUCAAGCUAUGCAAAUCUUUGAUCAUUAACAUUGACUUCAUUAAAUACAUAACGAGUUAAUUUGUUUGUUUAUUUGCUAUUUAAAGAGAGAAGACACAAAACUGGUUAAUUUAAUAAUUUUACCCAUUUGUCAGUGCAGGGUAACCACUAGGUUACCUAAACGGUUAUUUUACACUGGUUACCAGAACUGAUUAGCUGCACAGUUUUGUCAACAAUUUAACCAUUUUUUAUGAUUAUUAUCGUUGACCAGCGUAGCUGGACUAAUUUUAAUCGCGUCAUUUCGUUGUAAAUUGUUUAAACCACCGUCACUCGAAGUUAUGAGAUGAAACCCGAGAGCGAAGCCCGAGGGUUUGCUUCUCAUAACUUGUCGAUGCAGUGGUUAAAUCCAUUCGUAAACCGUUCAUUGACAUUAAAGUAAAAUUUUAGUUCCAUGUCCUUAGUUUAACAAAAUGAUUACUUUUAUCAUUGAUUAAGUCAAUCAACUAAUCAAUUUAAUUAAUUCAAUAGGUAAAAAGUGGCAAAACUCAAGUGUUGAUUGAUAUGACAAUGGAAAAUUGAAAUGUCCGCUCAAUUUGUUAUUGGCUCAUUGGUUUCUAUCUGAUCUCACAUCUGUUCACAAGUUGUUCUCAAGAUACACUCGCUUUUAAUAAUGGUGGGCCUUUUUAUUAUCAACAAUUAUAUACAUGAUUUUGUUUUGUUUUUUGUUACUGUUUGUUUAAAGAGAGAAAGAAAUAAAGAGACGAGAAACGGAAAUCUAAAUAAUUCCACUUCAGGAUUGUACCUCUUACCUAGUUCCUGCUGAUUAAAUUCAUCAUCAAUUUGAGCUGUUAACAGGUUCUGUUUUAUUCCUCCAAAAGCCUUGCUAAAUGUUUCAAUGAUCAAAUCUGAUCCAUCUCGACUGUCUACAAGGUAAAACUUGAAGUCAUUAUACCACACAUUAAUCAAUCAAGAUGGUUUCAUGAAAACAAAGAGUUGAAAGAAAAAUAGAUUCAAGGGAAGGAACCAUUUUUCCCAUUAAAAAGGCUUCUCUGGAAAAGAAAAAGAUUUCAACCUUUUGAUGAGGAUGAAAAAUCAAGCUUAAUCAUAAUCGUGUUGGCAGAGAUUUCAAUUUGAAGUGAUUUCCGGCGAUGAGGAAUCAGCAACUAUUGUGGUUUUCCUCAGAAAAUGACUCAUACUUGUUUCUUUUUUCUCUUUCCCCUCUUUCUUGGUAUAACUCAUUCUGUAUACAUGAAUGAAUCAAAACUACUGAGUAGUUCAGUAACAGAGAAAGCAGUAAAGAGAGAAGUUAUCCUUCUCUCUUGUCUUCCUCUCUUCUGCUCACUCAAAAUACAACAACACACACAAUGAUGAAUCAUCACCAUAAGUAUCUGAGUCUUCUCAGAAACUUCAAAGGGUGUCUCAUAUUUGAUUCACUUGAUGAAGGGUUGCCAACUAUCAUUAUGUGUACUCAUUGUUUGUCUUCGUUAGUUUAUUCCUUUACGUUUCAUGCUUUUCAUCUUACUUUUCGCAUUGCAUCAUGAUACUCUGGAUAGAUAGAGUGAUGCAAUUUAUCUUUCUCUUUCUCUUAUUCACGCUCAUCUUCUUGCUUUUAUUGUUGUGCUUAUAUCAUUAUGUACCAGAUAUUUCUUGAUGAUAGAUAACUUUCUUUCACUCUUGUUUACAAAUUCCCCCUCUUCAGAAGAAAUUACUGAAAGAUUUAAUGAUAAACAUCAACAGGAAAAUAAUUAUUCUUUAGUCAUCAUACCUGAGAAAUGUUGUUGACACUUUUAAAAACACCGACGGAAAUGCCUAAUACUUACUCAUAGCAGCACGGAUCUUUGUCAUAUCUAAUGCCAAUUAAUUACUCAUCGUCAUUUAAUAACUAGAUUAUU